UGCAGUAACCAGUCCAGGAAGCCAAA
rnacentral:piRNA from 1 species